UACAGAGGUCCCAAGCGUUGUUCGGAUUCACUGGGCGUAAAGGGUGCGCAGGUGGUCGGGUAAGUCUGAUGUGAAAUCCCGCAGCUCAACUGCGGAAUGGCAUUGGAUACUAUUUGGCUAGAGGGUUGGAGGGGGGACUGGAAUUCUCGGUGUAGCAGUGAAAUGCGUAGAUAUCGUAAGGAAGACCAGUGGCGAAGGCGGGUCUCUGGACAGUUCCUGACGCUGAGGCGCGAAAGCUAGGGGAGCGAACGGG
rnacentral:rRNA from 1 species